rnacentral:rRNA from 1 species
GACGGUACUUGAUGAAUAAGCCACGGCUAAUUCCGUGCCAGCAGCCGCGGUAAUACGGGAGUGGCAAGCGUUAUCCGGAAUUAUUGGGCGUAAAGCGUCCGCAGGCGGCCCUUCAAGUCUGCUGUUAAAAAGUGGAGCUUAACUCCAUCAUGGCAGUGAAACUGAGGGGCUUGAGUGCGGUAGGGGCAGAGGGAAUUCCCGGUGUAGCGGUGAAAUGCGUAGAUAUCGGGAAGAACACCAGUGGCGAAGGCGCUCUGCUGGGCCAUCACUGACGCUCAUGGACGAAAGCCAGGGGAGCGAAAGGGAUUAGAUACCCCUGUAGUCCUGGCCGUAAACGAUGAACACUAGGUGUCGGGGGAAUCGACCCCCUCGGUGUCGUAGCCAACGCGUUAAGUGUUCCGCCUGGGGAGUACGCACGCAAGUGUGAAACUCAAAGGAAUUGGCGGGGGCCCGCACAAGCGGUGGAGUAUGUGGUUUAAUUCGAUGCAACGCGAAGAACCUUACCAGGGUUUGACAUCCUGCGAAUCUCUUGGAAACGAGAGAGUGCCUUCGGGAGCGCAGUGACAGGUGGUGCAUGGCUGUCGUCAGCUCGUGUCGUGAGAUGUUGGGUUAAGUCCCGCAACGAGCGCAACCCACGUCUUUAGUUGCCAGCAUUUAGUUGGGCACUCUAGAGAGACCGCCGGUGAUAAACCGGAGGAAGGUGUGGAUGACGUCAAGUCAUCAUGCCCCUUACAUCCUGGGCUACACACGUACUACAAUGCUACGGACAAAGGGCAGCAAGUUCGCGAGGACAAGCAAAUCCCAUAAACCGUGGCUCAGUUCAGAUCGUAGGCUGCAACUCGCCUACGUGAAGGAGGAAUCGCUAGUAAUCGCAGGUCAGCAUACUGCGGUGAAUACGUUCCCGGGCCUUGUACACACCGCCCGUCACACCAUGGAAGUUGGCCACGCCCGAAGCCGUUACUCCAACCCUUGUGGAGGAGGACGUCGAAGGUGGGGCUGAUGACUGGGGUG